rnacentral:rRNA from 1 species
GACGAACGCUGGCGGCGUGCCUAAUACAUGCAAGUUGAGCGCUGAAGGUUGGUACUUGUCCCGACUGGAUGAGCAGCGAACGGGUGAGUAACGCGUGGGGAAUCUGCCUUUGAGCGGGGGACAACAUUUGGAAACGAAUGCUAAUACCGCAUAAAAACUUUAAACACAAGUUUUAAGUUUGAAAGAUGCAAUUGCAUCACUCAAAGAUGAUCCCGCGUUGUAUUAGCUAGUUGGUGAGGUAAAGGCUCACCAAGGCGAUGAUACAUAGCCGACCUGAGAGGGUGAUCGGCCACAUUGGGACUGAGACACGGCCCAAACUCCUACGGGAGGCAGCAGUAGGGAAUCUUCGACAAUGGACGAAAGUCUGACCGAGCAACGCCGCGUGAGUGAAGAAGGUUUUCGGAUCGUAAAACUCUGUUGGUAGAGAAGAACGUUGGUGAGAGUGGAAAGCUCAUCAAGUGACGGUAACUACCCAGAAAGGGACGGCUAACUACGUG